rnacentral:lncRNA from 1 species
ACAAGACCGAGACACCAGAGCGGUCUCACUCCAGGAUCCAUAAAAAUAAAAAAUUAGAUAGAAAACUUGAAUUCCAAUGAAGACCCAAUCCAUACAACAACAACAAACAAGGCUUUAUCUCACUAGGUGGGGUUGGCUAUGGAUCAAAUGGUGCCAUAAUGCUCCAACAUCGACAAAACAUUUAUCUGUAAGUUUUUCUUAAUCAUUCCAGCUAGUGGGAUAGAGGCUUAACGAAGACCCAAUUGAUAAAAAUAAAAUAACAAGAAAAAAGGAAUUGAGGGGAAAAGAAGAUCUAGAAGGGGGAAAACACGCACCACCAGAAUUCUUGGACGGUGUCGAAGGUGUAGAUCUUGCGAAGCAUAUAUAUAUAUAUAUAUAUGAAGGAUUUAAUAUGUAUACACUGACAGUGUAAGAGCUUCUUCCACUGUCAGCAAAUGUCAGCAAAUCAUCCACCACUGAUUUCUUAACUAACAUUGACUCUCAAACAAAAGUAAAACUUUACACUGUUAGUGCAUAGAUUUUAAACUCAUAUAUGAAUAACAAUUCAUAAGCCAUAAUAUUAAAGAUACUCAUAAUAAUAAACAUACUAUAUGAAUAUCAUAAAUUCAAGUCCUAAAGGUAAACACAUCAUAACCUAUAAGUCAUAAUAGCAAAAUAACACAACUACACAAAUUCCAAGUAAAAAGGGGUUUAACAGCCACUGACACUGUUCACGUUUUAAUUAAGUUUAUGGAUUAAAAAAGUCAUUGGGAAUAACAGACUAGGUUAACAGUAUGUUUUUUAUAAAUAAGAAAAAAAGAAUUUUUAGGGUUUUCAACAAACCAGGUCGCACAUGACCUGGUUAGCUUCUUCUCUACCACCGACGAACGCAACUAGAGUUGAAGCUCAAGUUGCAGAAUUGCACGAUGAAAAAGAGAAAGUGAAGUAGAGAUAGAGAGUGGGAGAGAUUUAGGAAUGGUGGGCUCAUCGAUUCCACCGGUUUUACACACGCACAUGACUAUCCCACCCGAUCCUACGGAGGCGUGCCCAAGACUGAGAUCGAGCAUGGGCUGGGGGUCAAAGAUUGUAAGAUUGUGCAAUCUCACGAGUAGGAUCACGAUUUUCAUUAGCAUGCCCUCCAGCACCAUAAGAUGUCUUUUCCUUUUCCUACAUUGAUUUUAAAGGCCUUCACAUGCAUGCCAUUAUCAAGUAACACAAUAUGAAAUCACAUGCAGCCAAGAUAAUAAAGUAGCAAGAAUCAUUUGUAUAAACAUAAUAACAUACCUGGGCAGCCUCAUUUGCUGCAGUUUUUGUCCAUAAUGAAAGCUUGUCCUGCCUUUGGCGAACACUCGCAACUACACCACAUAUAUCCUCAGCAUCGUCGAAUUGCUCCCCAAUUAAAGCCAUAAGCUGCACAACAUGAAUGAAAAAAUUUAGAACAAUUACAAAGUAACACAUCUUUCACAUUACAUAAAACAAACAAGUUAAAGAUUAAAAAACAAUUACUGUUUCAAGCCACAUGGUAUCAAGGUUAGUCUUUCUGUUGCUAACAACAGUCCACUUUCCUCCAUUGGCACACUCAGGAUCUUCCCAUUUUGGUUCAACCCCAGUCUUGAACAAAUGGAAGUCAACAUUCCCAACCAACUUGCUGGGCUUGAAUAUUUGAUCAUAUAAACUGCACCAACAUUUUCACAUCAACUUUAUUGAAUUAUUUUAACCAAGACCAUAUUGUGUCAACAAAAAUGACAACAUAAAAAGGAAAUUAUACUUACCCCGGAUAUUUAACACAAUUUUUUAUGCAAGUGGUGGAGUUAAUGCAAUUCAAAUCACCAAAACUGAAUCUUAAGGGGUGAAUAUAGAGCAAUUAAGCCAAAGGGUCGAUGUAAUUUCUAGAAAUAAAAAUAGAAGUAACAUAAAACCCAGAAUUAUUAGCAACAAGACCGAGACACCAGAGCGGUCUCACUCCAGGAUCCAUAAAAAUAAAAAAUUAGAUAGAAAACUUGAAUUCCAAUGAAGACCCAAUCCAUACAACAACAACAAACAAGGCUUUAUCUCACUAGGUGGGGUUGGCUAUGGAUCAAAUGGUGCCAUAAUGCUCCAACAUCGACAAAACAUUUAUCUGUAAGUUUUUCUUAAUCAUUCCAGCUAGUGGGAUAGAGGCUUAACGAAGACCCAAUUGAUAAAAAUAAAAUAACAAGAAAAAAGGAAUUGAGGGGAAAAGAAGAUCUAGAAGGGGGAAAACACGCACCACCAGAAUUCUUGGACGGUGUCGAAGGUGUAGAUCUUGCGAAGAGAGGAUCCCCAAGCAGCACCUUGCUUCGUUUUCGAUUGGUUAUCCAACCAGAAAGUC